AUGAACGCUGGCGGCGUGCCUAAUCCAUGCAAGUCGAGCGAACAGACGAGGAGCUUGCUCCUCUGACGUUAGCGGCGGACGGGUGAGUAACACGUGGAUAACAUACCUAUAAGACUGGGAUAACUUCGGGAAACCGGAGCUAAUACCGGAUAAUAUAUUGAACCGCAUGGUUCAAUAGUGAAAGACGGUUUUGCUGUCACUUAUAGAUGGAUCCGCGCCGCAUUAGCUAGUUGGUAAGGUAACGGCUUACCAAGGCAACGAUGCGUAGCCGACCUGAGAGGGUGAUCGGCCACACUGGAACUGAGACACGGUCCAGACUCCUACGGGAGGCAGCAGUAGGGAAUCUUCCGCAAUGGGCGAAAGCCUGACGGAGCAACGCCGCGUGAGUGAUGAAGGUCUUCGGAUCGUAAAACUCUGUUAUUAGGGAAGAACAAAUGUGUAAGUAACUAUGCACGUCUUGACGGUACCUAAUCAGAAAGCCACGGCUAACUACGUG
rnacentral:rRNA from 1 species